CAUGAGGCGAUGAACAACCCUCAGGCGCAGGCCUGGCUCACCAAUUCCAAGAUGGCGGACGGCGGAGACGAAGAAGAAGAUUACAUGUCUGAUAAAUUCCUUUUUGGAGCCGCUGACACAAGACCUGGACUCCCGAUUCUCAAGCGCGUAGCUAAACAAUACAACAAAGAUGAGAGACACAAAGUUUUGAACGAAAAGAACAAAAUAAAACCUAUAAAAGAGCGCGAAAAAGAACAGAGAGAACAGGGAAUGGCUAGUGCCAUUGAUAGCAGUAACGUAGGAUUCGCGCUACUACAGAAGAUGGGCUACAAGAAGGGUGCAGGACUUGGAAAAGAAGGUACCGGCCGUGCAGAUCCUAUUCCUAUCGCCAUCAAGACUGAUCGUGGGGGACUGGGCAGAGAAACUCAGAUUAAAAGGCAGCAGCAAAAAAAGCAAACACUAAGGGAAGAAACAGCCAAGAAAAGAACAAAGCUUGAGCAGCAUCAGAGAGAACACUUCAGACAACAAAUAAGCAACAAAUUUGCAGAAAAGAAAAUUAAAAGCGACUUGUACAAGAGUCAAAAAGCAUGUGAGCAGUUAGACAAAGCAAAGGGUCAACUUUGUAAACUGGAGUGGUUCUGGCCGCAAGAGACAUCAGAGGAGGAGGAGGAAGAGAAUGAGGAAGAAAAAGAUGAUGAAGAAGAUGGCAGUGAGCUACAGCCUCACGAAAUGCUGCGUGAGCUGACAGCUUAUCUGAGGACCCAGCACUUGUACUGCAUCUGGUGUGGAACCACCUUUAAUGACCCAGAAGAUCUUGCUGAUAACUGUCCGGGUGACACAGCCGCUGAACAUGACUGAUCAUGCUUGGGAGCCCUGUGGAAUUUGUGCCGCUGACCAUGGCUGAUUCAGCAACAUGAUCGGGAACCUUGUGGUCUUUGCACCACUGACCAUGACAAAGCAUGCCCGGGAGAAACUGCUUGGGGACCCCGUGGUCUGCGUGCGCUCCCUAAAGUUCCACCAGACACCUCUGACCAGAUACCAGACAUCUAACCAGAAAAAAAAAACACAUCUAGAGCACUAAAGGAGGAAAGGACGACAGGACAACUCAAGGUAAGACUUCUGAAUUUAUUUACCCCAAAAAUAACGAGCACAGAACUUUGACAGGCUGUGACAGAACUUGCCACAAGUUGCCAUUUGCUGCAAAAGACAAGUUUUCUCUGCCUUGUCCCGUUCUUACCGGGUUCCCUGUGUUCACCCUAGUCCCAGACGUUCUUUCUCAUCGGGUUCCCUGUGGUUGGCAAGAAUUGUGACGUCGCGGGAACCAUUUCAUCUCAGACGCUGCCUCACGGUUCAUCUCCGAGUACAACCCUCUGACAAGACUAAAGUUUUUCUUUUUAUCUUAGAGAGAUCCUUGACGCUCCAGAUCUUAUGUGUUUAUGAGAUUGAAUAUGAGGCUAUAGGGGACAUUGAUAAAGGUGAAGACAAAAAUAGACUCUCCGCCUCUUGUUGUCAUUUGUAAAUUAUUUUCCCGCUUUUGGGUAAAGUUUACAUACAUAAAUCAUAAAUCAAGUCGCAUCAGAAAAUUUAACUUGUUUAUCAUCUAUUUAUUUGAUAAAGGAGUUCAUUUCCUGCAAAUUCCAAUAUAUUGUCGCGUCACAUUUCGGAAAUUCCCUAACUUUUAUUUAUGACAAAUGUGUCUUUCAAGUGUGAAGUAGAAUGAUCCAGAAUUUGUAACUGCAAAGCCGACCCUUGAAACACAGGUUGCUAACCAAUCUUUAAUAGGCAAUUGUUCACGCUAGACGAUGUUUAUUAAUUCAAGCCUAUCGUGUGUUUCAAACUUAUGCACCCCGCUGAAAGCCUGACACUCGUAUUGAAGUGCAUGGCAACGAUCAGAGGAGGAAGAAGCAAGAACUUUCUAAACACAGAUAAGAAGGACUUUUUUACCCGCUUAAAGAAUCACCAAGCUAAAGGUUUUUAGACACGACAUUUUCUUGGAAUUCAAGAUGAAGAACAAUCUUUUCGCUGUUUUACUUGCGCUGCUCAUGACAUUUCAAGGAGCGGCAGCGGCUGGGACAGACUACUCGACGCUCGAGGCGCUGUGCAUCGCCAUCAUCGUACUCUUUUUAAUCUGGAUCAUCAUCAUGAUCAUCUUGAUCUUCUGCUGCAAGGCGUACGUCAACAAGCUGUCGCAAGCGCCAUGUGCUGACGAGGACCAAAAACCGGGUCGCUCGGACGGGAACAGUAACCAGGCCUACCAAGGCAUGGUGGUACGUUCGUACAGUGAUCCAAAGGUUCACCCAGAACCGCAGUACCGACGUCCCGAGGUCCGUGAACAGUGCACCCAGACGGACCCCAGCGAGUUAGAGCCCCUAGGUCCUGAUCAGUCGGUGCAGGUCCCGGAUGACCCUGAAGAGCAGUUCAGGCCACCCCAUAGAUUAGAGCCGCUGGAGUAAUAUGUUAGCUUAGUUUUGCAUUUUGUUUGAUGGGACAGGCGCGUACCUAGGGUACCCCCCCCCCCCCCCCUCAGCAAAUCCUGGGUUCGCGCCUGGAAGGUAGUUUUAAGAUGGCAUUUGAGAUAAACGAUUCCUUCACAUUGAAGGAAUCAUUUAUCACUCGUGUUCGUACGAAAGGGGCAAAGCCUCAUUGAUUGUAACGAUAGAAGAAACGUCACGAAAAGAAACUCCGCAGUCAACGGCAUUUUUUUGUAUAAUUUUGUUAUUGUAAUUUCCUUUUUAUGCAUGGCAUGCAUUGCUAGUUUGUAACUAGUAAUAACCAUCGUCAAAUACUGUGAAUACUGUAUAUAAAACUUCCUUGUACUUUGUUUCCAUGUUAUAUAAUUUGUAUAGUGGGUUUAAAACCUUAGACCUGAUACGUCAGACUAAAAUUGGUAAAAGGCCAUUGUUGUGGCUUUCCACCAGGAGUGGGCGCUGGAUGGGAGGGAGGGGGGAUGGAAUAAAAAUGUCCCGACUGACCAGAGACCUCUAGCCUUUAAAGGAACCGCAUUAGUCUAGUGGUUGUGUGACUCAAGGCUUGACUCUAUGAAGAUUUUGGUGAGGCUCACUGUGACUGUUUUUAACACAUUCAUUGCUCAACCUUUGUCAUAAAAUUACAUUCGUUGUAAAAAUGUGUGGAAUAAUAAAAGAAAACCUCUGAAUAAUAUAAUUAAAGAUCAGACCUCUCUCA